AGAGUUUGAUCCUGGCUCAGGACGAACGCUGGCGGCGUGCUUAACACAUGCAAGUCGAACGGAAAGGCCCUGCUUUUGUGGGGUGCUCGAGUGGCGAACGGGUGAGUAACACGUGAGUAACCUGCCCUUGACUUUGGGAUAACUUCAGGAAACUGGGGCUAAUACCGGAUAGGAGCUCCUGCUGCAUGGUGGGGGUUGGAAAGUUUCGGCGGUUGGGGAUGGACUCGCGGCUUAUCAGCUUGUUGGUGGGGUAGUGGCUUACCAAGGCUUUGACGGGUAGCCGGCCUGAGAGGGUGACCGGCCACAUUGGGACUGAGAUACGGCCCAGACUCCUACGGGAGGCAGCAGUGGGGAAUAUUGCACAAUGGGCGGAAGCCUGAUGCAGCAACGCCGCGUGCGGGAUGACGGCCUUCGGGUUGUAAACCACUUUCGCCUGUGACGAAGCGUGAGUGACGGUAAUGGGUAAAGAAGCACCGGCUAACUACGUG
rnacentral:rRNA from 1 species